rnacentral:rRNA from 1 species
ACGAGUGGCGGACGGGUGAGUAACACGUGGGUAACCUGCCCUUAAGUGGGGGAUAACAUUUGGAAACAGAUGCUAAUACCGCAUAGAUCCAAGAACCGCAUGGUUCUUGGCUGAAAGAUGGCGUAAGCUAUCGCUUUUGGAUGGACCCGCGGCGUAUUAGCUAGUUGGUGAGGUAAUGGCUCACCAAGGCGAUGAUACGUAGCCGAACUGAGAGGUUGAUCGGCCACAUUGGGACUGAGACACGGCCCAAACUCCUACGGGAGGCAGCAGUAGGGAAUCUUCCACAAUGGACGCAAGUCUGAUGGAGCAACGCCGCGUGAGUGAAGAAGGCUUUCGGGUCGUAAAACUCUGUUGUUGGAGAAGAAUGGUCGGCAGAGUAACUGUUGUCGGCGUGACGGUAUCCAACCAGAAAGCCACGGCUAACUACGUGCCAGCAGCCGCGGUAAUACGUAGGUGGCAAGCGUUAUCCGGAUUUAUUGGGCGUAAAGCGAGCGCAGGCGGUUUUUUAAGUCUGAUGUGAAAGCCCUCGGCUUAACCGAGGAAGCGCAUCGGAAACUGGGAAACUUGAGUGCAGAAGAGGACAGUGGAACUCCAUGUGUAGCGGUGAAAUGCGUAGAUAUAUGGAAGAACACCAGUGGCGAAGGCGGCUGUCUGGUCUGUAACUGACGCUGAGGCUCGAAAGCAUGGGUAGCGAACAGGAUUAGAUACCCUGGUAGUCCAUGCCGUAAACGAUGAAUGCUAGGUGUUGGAGGGUUUCCGCCCUUCAGUGCCGCAGCUAACGCAUUAAGCAUUCCGCCUGGGGAGUACGACCGCAAGGUUGAAACUCAAAGGAAUUGACGGGGGCCCGCACAGCGGUGGAGCAUGUGGUUUAAUUCGAAGCAACGCGAAGAACCUUACCAGGUCUUGACAUCUUUUGAUCACCUGAGAGAUCAGGUUUCCCCUUCGGGGGCAAAAUGACAGGUGGUGCAUGGUUGUCGUCAGCUCGUGUCGUGAGAUGUUGGGUUAAGUCCCGCAACGAGCGCAACCCUUAUGACUAGUUGCCAGCAUUUAGUUGGGCACUCUAGUAAGACUGCCGGUGACAAACCGGAGGAAGGUGGGGAUGACGUCAAAUCAUCAUGCCCCUUAUGACCUGGGCUACACACGUGCUACAAUGGAUGGUACAACGAGUUGCGAGACCGCGAGGUCAAGCUAAUCUCUUAAAGCCAUUCUCAGUUCGGACUGUAGGCUGCAACUCGCCUACACGAAGUCGGAAUCGCUAGUAAUCGCGGAUCAGCACGCCGCGGUGAAUACGUUCCCGGGCCUUGUACACACCGCCCGUCACACCAUGAUAGUUUGUAACACCCGAAGCCGGUGGCGUAACCCUUUUAGGGAGCGAGCCGUCU